AUACGGAGGAUCCUAGUGUUAUCCGGAUUUAUUGGGUUUAAAGGGAGCGUAGGCGGGAGGUCAAGUCAGCUGUGAAAUGUAUCUGCUUAACGGGUACACUGCAGUUGAAACUGGUUUUCUUGAGUGCGUAAGAGGCAGGCGGAAUUCGUGGGGUAGCGGUGAAAUGCUUAGAUAUCAUGAAGAACUCCGAUUGCGAAGGCAGUCCGCUGGGGCACGUCUGACGCUGAUGCUCGAAGGUGCGGGAAUCAAACAGGAUUAGAUACCCUGGUAGUCCGCACGGUAAACGAUGAUUACCCGCUGUCGGCGGCAGACAGUCGGCGGCCAAGCGAAAGCGAUAAGUAAUCCACCUGGGGAGUACGCCGGCAACGGUGAAACUCAAAGGAAUUGACGGGG
rnacentral:rRNA from 1 species